rnacentral:rRNA from 1 species
UACGACGGGGGCUAGCGUUGCUCGGAAUCACUGGGCGUAAAGCGCACGUAGGCGGAUCUUUAAGUCAGGGGUGAAAUCCCGGAGCUCAACUCCGGAACUGCCUUUGAUACUGAAGACCUUGAGUCCGGGAGAGGUGAGUGGAACUGCGAGUGUAGAGGUGAAAUUCGUAGAUAUUCGCAAGAACACCAGUGGCGAAGGCGGCUCACUGGCCCGGUACUGACGCUGAGGUGCGAAAGCGUGGGGAGCAAACAGG